UACGUAGGGUGCGAGCGUUGUCCGGAAUUAUUGGGCGUAAAGGGCGCGUAGGCGGCCUGUUAAGUCGAACGUGAAAUCCCCGGGCUCAACCCGGGAACUGCGUCCGAUACUGGCAGGCUUGAAUUCGGGAGAGGGAUGUGGAAUUCCACGUGUAGCAGUGAAAUGCGUAGAGAUGUGGAGGAACACCGAUGGCGAAGGCAGCCUCCUGGGCCAGCACUGACGCUCAUGCACGAAAGCGUGGGGAGCAAACAGG
rnacentral:rRNA from 1 species